CUACAUACACCAUAAUAAUAUAAUAAAUACUCAUCUUUAAUCAAAAGCAUCAUAUCCCUGAGGUCUAGUCUAUGAGAUAUACAUCAUGACCACAAAAGCCUCCACAGUGAAUAAGAAGAUACUCAAAUCUGUUCUUUAUGAAAGAGUUUUGGACCGAUAGGAAUGGGAGAAAAUCAUCAGUGACUAUCUAUAAAAGAAACAGAAGUCAAGAUUUAGCAAACACUGCUCAAUAUCUUGAGAAAGUACUUAUCAAAGAUACAAUGCAACUAGCAAGUAGACGAACAGAAAUGACAGGAAAAUGUCUCCAGGGCAGCCAACUUAAUCCCCAUUCAAGUAAAGACACUUCAUAAAGAUACGCUUCAUAUUCUUGAUGGGACAGUCUUUCUUGACAAUAUCAGAAAAUUACUGCGAAGCACUGUACUUUCAAAUCUUUCUGUUAAAGUCGAUAAUUACAAAGCACAGAGUUGAAGGCUCUAUGAGGAUGGAUGCCUUCCACCUAGUGAUUGGACACCUGCUGUGUUCUAGGCCCCAGAGGAAUGAAUACACAGGACAGCGCUGUCUCUGACCACAAAAGGCUAAAUAUCAAGUGUGACCCGACAUGAGCAGACCACCAGGUGGCUGGCUCUGUAGAGACACAAUCAAAGCCAAGGGUAUGUCCCUCAACUUCUGCUGGCAUUCUUGUGUGGAAGAACAGAGCUGCAAAGAUGAAUAAGAGACAGACCCUGCUCACAAACCAGCCAGAAAGAUGCAGGGUAAAGAAAUAACUCUGGGUCCACGUGCAAAGAGCUCUAAAGAGGGGCAAACCGUCAGGAGCACAGAGAGCACACGGUGAACCAGCCAAGGAGGAAGCGUCAGGGAAGACGACGGCAUCGCAGUGGGGCCUCAGAGGUUGAGUAGGAGGCGACAGGCACAGUCUCAGUGGUGAGAAGAGAGAUGCAUGUCUGAAACAUCCAGAUUGACAACAACGAAGACCCGAAAUACUCUAGCAGCCAGGAUGCUCAGUGUCCAUCUUAUGACACUGAGCUGUGACAUUUUUCCUGUCAAUUUAGCUGGUGUUACCAGACAUUACCAC
rnacentral:lncRNA from 1 species